AUUGAACGCUGGCGGCAGGCCUAACACAUGCAAGUCGAGCGAGCGGCGGACGGGUGAGUAAUGUCUGGGAAAAUGCCUGAUGGAGGGGGAUAACUACUGGAAACGGUAGUUAAUACCGCAUACCAUCAGAUGUGCCCAGAUGGGAUAAGCUAGUAGGUGGGGUAAUGGCUCACCUAGGCGACGAGCCCUAGCUGGUCUGAGAGGAUGACCAGCCACACGGGAACUGAGACACGGGCCAGACUCCUACGGGAGGCAGCAGUGGGGAAUAUUGAACAAUGGGCGCAAGCCUGAUGCAGCAAUGCCGAGUGUGUGAAGAAGGCCUUCGGUUUGUAAAGCACUUUCAGCGGGGAGGCGUUACCCGCAGAAGAAGCACCGGCUAACUCCGUGCCAGCAGCCGCGGUAAUAC
rnacentral:rRNA from 1 species